CAGGAGAAUGGGGUUAGGAGGGAGAGAUAGAUCAGCCAUGAUUGAAAAGCAGAGUAGUCUUGAUGGGCUGAAUGGCAUAAUUUUACUUAUAUCACUUUUGAAAUUAUAAACUCUAAAAUCACACCAACCUCACAAAGCUCACCAAAUCCAAGGGUGCUAACCUCUCUCUCAAACCAAAGGAGUUGGUUAUUAACAUCAGAAAGCUGGGUGGUGUACAUGCCUGAGCCUGCAUCAAUGAUGCUGAAAUGGAGAUGGCCGAGAGCUUCAAGCUCCUAGGUGUUAAAUCACCAACAAUUUGUCCUGCCCAACCACAUUGAUGCGACUGUCAAGAAAACAUCCCAAUGUCUCAACCUCUUCAGAAGACUAAGGAAAUUUGAUGUCUCCAAUGACACCUAGCAAUUUCUCCAGAUACACCAUUGACAUCUCAUGCUAAGGACUGAGAAAACAUGAACCACUUUCUAUCCAUCCUCUGUCCCCUCAAAGGUGCAACAUUAAGCCUGGACCAAAAGAGAGGGUGAGAUUCAUUGCUAGAACUGAGUAAAAUUAAAGAAAAAAUGCCAUACAAAGCUUUCAUUAUAAACCAAUUAGAACUUAGUUAAACUACAGGCUUAGAAAUUAUGGCGGGCAAUUUAUGGUAUUUAAUGGCUUUUAAAUCAUUGUUAAAAUAACAGGAAAAAAUAAAUUAAAAGAAAACUGAUUAAAAUGUCAACCGAUGAGAUGCUUAACAGUCACAACUAGGUAAUUUUUUUAAGGAGUACAAUUGCAGGGUCUUUGCUCCACAGCUGCUACGAGUGAUGAAAUAGUCUGAUUGCUGACUUUUAUCACAGGCAGUAAUUCUCAACUUGCAAGUGGAAGCAUUGACAUUUAAUUGUCUAAGCCUCCAUCUGUCAGCAGGGAGAGCAUGGUGCUGCCAUUCAGUUGAUCCUUCCCAGGCUGAAGUUAAUGUGGCUCCCAAACAAUCAAUAUUUCUUGUAGGUGGUGCAACAGAAGGCAGUUACUUGCUGGCAAAUUUGGGAGUGUAUUCUGGGGCCUAUGACAACAUCUGCUUCUCCACCACCCACCAUAGAUGUCUGCAGCUCAAAUGUAAGAUGAAAUUCAGGCAACACUUGUAAAACACAAAG